GGCAAUCUGAAACUCUGCAGGCGAACGGCUGUUUUUGUCUCUGUUAAAAGCAAGUUACAAGAAAGUUUUUACAAAGUUUGCAGUAAUUAUGAAGUAGUCUACACAAAUACUGAUGAUGACAAUGAUGAAGCACUGACCUGAGAUGAGGCUGUCAAUCAGUGUGGUGGGCACGCAGAAAAUGCCCACCAGCAGGUCGCUGACGGCCAGGUUGAGGAUGAAGAGAUUAGUGACGGAGCGCAUGUUUCUGUUCCUGAUGACCACCAGACAGACCAGCCCGUUGCCCACCACACACAGCAGCAACACCAGCAGAUACGAGAGGAUGUAGCUGACCGCCAUCCCCGCCGAGUGGAUGUAAUACGGCAACAGUGUGCAGUUUUGCCAGCUCAGGUUGGCAGCAGAGUGGUUGAGGGUCAUUGUGUCCAUCUCGGAUCUUGAAAAUAAAAAUGAUUUGAACAAGCAUUGCUCAAUGGAUAGAUAUGAAAAUUCAAAAUCUCAC
rnacentral:lncRNA from 1 species